rnacentral:rRNA from 1 species
AGAGUUUGAUCAUGGCUCAGGACGAACGCUGGCGGCGUGCUUAACACAUGCAAGUCGAACGGAAAGGCCCUGCUUGCAGGGUACUCGGGUGGCGAACGGGUGAGUAACACGUGGGUGAUCUGCCCUGCACUUCGGGAUAAGCUUGGGAAACUGGGUCUAAUACCGGAUAGGACCGCACUUUAGUGUGUGUGGUGGAAAGUUUUUUCGGUGUAGGAUGAGCUCGCGGCCUAUCAGCUUGUUGGUGGGGUAAUGGCCUACCAAGGCGGCGACGGGUAGCCGGCCUGAGAGGGUGUACGGCCACAUUGGGACUGAGAUACGGCCCAGACUCCUACGGGAGGCAGCAGUGGGGAAUAUUGCACAAUGGGCGCAAGCCUGAUGCAGCGACGCCGCGUGGGGGAUGAAGGCCUUCGGGUUGUAAACUCCUUUCGCUAGGGACGAAGCUUCGUUGUGACGGUACCUAGAUAAGAAGCACCGGCUAACUACGUGCCAGCCGCCGCGGUAAUUC